GAUGAACGCUAGCGGGAGGCCUAACACAUGCAAGCCGAGCGGUAUUGUUUCUUCGGAAAUGAGAGAGCGGCGUACGGGUGCGUAACACGUGUGCAACCUGCCUUUAUCUGGGGGAUAGCCUUUCGAAAGGAAGAUUAAUACUCCAUAAUAUAUUGAACGGCAUCGUUUAAUAUUGAAAGCUCCGGCGGAUAGAGAUGGGCACGCGCAAGAUUAGCUAGUUGGUGAGGUAACGGCUCACCAAGGCGAUGAUCUUUAGGGGGCCUGAGAGGGUGAUCCCCCACACUGGUACUGAGACACGGACCAGACUCCUACGGGAGGCAGCAGUGAGGAAUAUUGGUCAAUGGGUGCAAGCCUGAACCAGCCAUCCCGUGUGAAGGACGACUGCCCUAUGGGUUGUAAACUUCUUUUGUAUAGGGAUAAACCUACCCUCGAGAGGGUAGCUGAAGGUACUAUACGAAUAAGCACCGACUAACUCCGUG
rnacentral:rRNA from 1 species